rnacentral:rRNA from 1 species
UACGUAGGGUGCAAGCGUUGUCCGGAUUUAUUGGGCGUAAAGAGCUCGUAGGCGGCUUGUCGCGUCGACUGUGAAAACUUGGGGCUCAACCCCAAGCUUGCAGUCGAUACGGGCAGGCUAGAGUUCGGUAGGGGAGACUGGAAUUCCUGGUGUAGCGGUGAAAUGCGCAGAUAUCAGGAGGAACACCGAUGGCGAAGGCAGGUCUCUGGGCCGAUACUGACGCUGAGGAGCGAAAGCGUGGGGAGCGAACAGG